UGGGGGAUUUCACCCUUUCUAUUGAAUGCUUCGGUUUCUAAUCGAUUCAUGUUUCAAUUGUUCGUUCAAUCGAUUCAUUAUGUGUGCAGAGAUUACUUCGUCUUCCCCUGUAUAAUCAAACUCCAGUUGUCUCAAUUUCUCAAACCAAAUCAAACCCUUAAUUUGAAAUUCCGGUUAUAACCUUUCGUCGAAGUGGAGAUGAAGAUGUUACGAUCUCCGGCACCGGUAAGAGAAGACGAUUGGUGCUUCCGAUUAUCAUGUCAAUUUGUUGUUUAUGUGGUCAAUAAACGACAGUUCGAUCUCAGAUCUGAAGCUGUUCAAGCUUCUGCUCAUUGGAGAUUCGGGUGUAGGAAGGUCAUGUCUACUUCUGAGGUUUGUUGUAAGUGUCUCCGAUUAUCAUGUCAAUUUUGUGUUUAUGUGGUCAAUAAACGACAGUUAUCUCACAUCUCAAGGUUAGAAUUCAUAAUAGUAUUCGUCUGUUUGAUGUUCUAUAAGCUUACGUAAUGAAUUUGUUUACAUUGAUUACCUAUUCAUGCUUCUGCUCAUUGAAUAUAAAAGUUUAUUGAAUAUGAUUAUUGAAACAGUGGGAAAUUAAAGACCAAAUGAUGAGUGAAACCGGAACGGAGCGUCCGUACAGCGUGGGUUCUUCCUCUACGAUUCAAUUCGAGUGUUAUAAAAGCUGGUUCAGCCAUGUAGGGCGGACUGUUGGAGAUCAUUCAUCCAUGAUUAAAUUUGCUUUUAUAUAAAUUGGUUUUGUACAUCAAGUUUGUCGUUCAAGUUUGUCGAUUAUUCCUAACGGAUUGUUUACAAUUAAUUAAAAGGUACCAAGACUUAAGUGGAAGGAGCUAAAUGCCCAUGUGUGGAAAGGAUGCCUAAUUAUACUGGUAAUAUCCGGUGAUAAAAUUGCGGAGGUGAAACGGGCUGUUGUAGAAAGUGGACAUUUGGUUUCGGUCAGCUUGUAGUCAUGCAUGUUUUUGUAAUGAUUAAACCCUAACAGAUGGAGACACAUUUGGGGCUUUUAUUAGCCAAGAUGAAGCUGAUUCUGACCUGUUAGAGGCUGCCCACGAAGGAGCUGGUUGGAGUCACUAUUUCCAGCAGUUGCAAGGGGCUGCGGGUGUAUGGCGUUUAAAAGCAAUUGAAGAUGUGAGUGGCUGGAAAGAUAGAACAACUAUGGAGGACAUGGAUCAUGCAGUUUGGGCUAGCCUCAACGGGUCCAGUAGAAGGCUUUUCCCCACAGUGUGUAGAAUUCCAAGUCAUACAAAGGUGGUUGUGACCGAAAACAAUCGUACGAAGUCUAUUCUUGUCGGGUUACACGGUGUCGUCAAGAAGGCUGCUGCAGGUCUUGGAGGCUGGCGUUCGCUGGUAAUUUUAUUGGGGAUUUAAUAAUUUUUAAAUUCAAAAGAAGGUUUUAAUGUUGUUCUUUAAGUGGAAUUGUUUUGUUUUGUUUUUUUUAACAUUUUUGCUGACUGAUGAUUAUGUUAUUAACUUUUAUUGACAUCUUAAGUCUACUACUUGUGACACCAAUUGUGAUUAUGUUGAUGUAUAUGAUUAUGUGUUACAUAAUAUUGUAAUGUAGAAAACUAGGGUUAUUUGUUGCUCGUAAUUAAUACUAAACUAGAUAACUUGCUUCAUCAAUUUGAAACUGAUAAUCGAACCUAUAACUGAUUUUUGAGUUUUUAGCUUAUUCCUAACAGAUCGAUUUUGGUCAUAAAGAGUUAGAUUACUUAGGUUAUUCGAAAAGAUGAUCCGGUUAACUGCUGACUGUUGGCUUUAGACGUGAGUGGAUUCAAGCUAAUAAGUUCAACUGUAUCUUGAGUGGAAUAAAGUAUCAAUCCUUUUAGUUUAUAAAGGAGAAUAAGCUUAACUGAUUUCUUAUUUAUGAAAAAGUCAUGACAGUAUAACACUAUUUACAAAAAAUAAAAAUAUGGUUGGUUUGGUUAGGUUAAUUCAGUUAUAAAUACACAUAUAACCAUAGCCUAACAUUAAAAACAGUUAUCAAAAAAGUCAUAUUUGAACUGUCGGUUUCUCAAUUGGUUUGGUUAUUUCAGUUUGGUUACAAUUCGGUUUUUGAUUUUCUGCUCACCGCUACCUGUUGGUAUAAAGUUUAGAUAAGAUUUGAUUUUAAUUUCCGUGCUCAUUUAAGCUGAGCUCGAGUAGCUCAGCUCAUUCAUUUGUACCCUAAGGGGGAGCGGGGCACCCUCGGUGACUCCCUUCGAGGACCAACUUUGCCGAGCGGGAGAGGUGCCGCCAUCCAGGCGGGGAGCCAAAUCGGUGAGGGGGUUGGGGGAGAAGUCACCGCACAAUAAGAGAGUUGAUGGUAGGGCCCAUAGCUUGUAACAACAAAUCAAUUAUUUUGUUUUUUAUUUUUAUUUUUUUUUUGACUAAAAAAACAAUUCCCCUAAGAGGGGUGCACUCCGUACGUUUUUGGACAAGAGGGAAGUUAUAGAGGGGAAAUGACAUGGCAACGUAUGAUUGGGUUAAAAAAAGUUUCCCCUCACCUCAUUAAGGGGUGCCCCCUUCACUCUAAUUGUGCCCAUUAAAAACAUACCUUGGUCAACUUCAACAUGUUUUGACCCGCUUUACCCAUAAAAAAAUUCAUAGUUUGCAGUAGAUACAACAGAAGAAGAAUUGAGGAAACCGAAUUAAAAGGUAAAAGGAGUGAUUCAAAUCCAGUGGCUCUGCUAGACCGUAACAAAUGCUUUGAGGUGGUUGCUGCUGCUGUGAAAAAUAUCGUCUCAGAUUUAGUUGUUGAUCUGAAAUGUCCAGAGCUCACCGUUCUUAUCGUGGUCCUACCCAUUUAGGUGUUGUUUUGGGUUCUUCCUCUUCGUAAUUUCAGGGCUUCUAUUGUGAGUUCAAAUAUACUGCAUAUAUCUUAUUAAAAAGUUAACAGUGCUACAAAAGAUAGCUAAAACAUGAUCGCUUUGUUGUGCGGCUGCAAGGACAUAUGGGUCCAAUGCGGUUUGUGCGGUUAGUGCUGUAGUUGAUUGGCAGCAGCAGUCUGGUUAUAUGGUUCUGUUUCUAGAGACCAGAAGCAGUGCAGAUUCAGAGUUUAGAAAUACUUACUGAUUGAUGGUGGUGAUCUGCAUCCCAACACAGGUGACCCUAUUUUCAUUCAAUGGUUAUAAUGGACAAGAAGAGCAAAUAAGGGAACAAUAGAAUAGAGGGAAGGUGCCCGAAAAAAUAUAUGUACACAACAUACCAGGUCUAAUUAAGGGCUUUUGAUUUGAGAAAUUAUCUUAACGAGCUUUUCGAUCGGUGUCGGAAAUAUUUUUAUCGCAUGUUUGUGAUCGUGCUGUUGAGGAUGCUUGUGUUGAGGUAUUAUUCUUCACCGGAUUUUGUUGGAAGAUUGCCAUUCCUUGAAUCCCGAAAGAAAGUUAGCAACUGUGUGGUAGCCAGCCUCAUUUGUAUUUAUGACUUUACCAUUAAAUUUAAUAGUGUUAGGAAUAUGGGUAUUUCUAAUACAUGUACAUAUUUCAUGCGAUUAUGGUGAUGAUAUUGGUAACUGAGAUGGUACAUCGUUAAUUGCUACCAUGUCAUUGAUUCUGAUCUAUAUAGAAAUGCCAUGGGCACUUUUGGUUAGUCAUAUAUCUUCUCCUGGUUAUCGUUAAUUAUUUUUUCAGGUGGCAAUAUUUCUUAUCCAUAAAAAUUGGCACAUGCUGGUAGAGCAACUGAUGAUCAUUAUAUGAAAGGGUUUCUUGAGUUUUAAAAAAAUGACCCGAUAAAGAUUUCACUGAAUAGUAUGCUUAACACGAACACUCGGGUGGAAUCCAGGUCAAGUUAACUUUGAGUUUUCCUUUUUCAAAUGGGUCAGUAGGCUUGAAAUUGCUACACUCUUGAAAGACUUGAAUUAUUGUGGUAUGGUAAUGGAUGAACUUGCUAUUAUCUUUUUUUUCUGAUUGGGCUUUCUUUAUAUUUAAGGUUAAGAUUUUACAGUUUGAUGUACUACACAUCAUGGUGGUUAUUAUCAGAUCGAACACCUACUUAUAAAUAGUUGAGUAUUAUCAGAUUGAACACUCUCCUGCUGCUCGGUAUAAUCUGUGGGCUUAGGGUUUGCUAAUAAGAAGAAUGGCAGGGGAUUGUCUGCUGAUUUGAUUUCUGUAAGUGAUCCUAACUUGCAAGUUUUAAUUCUCAAAUUCAAAUCUAUUAUAAAUUGUUAUGGAUGAUUGGACGAUAUUGAAUAGGCUACUUAACAGGUCAAACAAGGCAAUUUUUAAAGUAGGAAAACAAAUAGAGGCCAAAUUGGUCUGAAAAGAAGAGAGCGAGUUGUUGUUGUUGCCACUACAACAAAGAAGACGAUGUUUCCCUCCAUCUUUGUUAUAAUAUUUCGCAUGUUUUUCAUUUAAUUAUAUCAAUUUGCAUCUCCAUAACUUAUAGUCGUACUCUUGGCUAUAUAUUGAGUGGCGAUACACCUGAUCUCAGUGUAUGGUAUUGCUACACUUUUUUAUUAUCUAAUGACAAUGUCUUACAAAAUCUGUAUAACAAAUUCAUGUCAUACUCCCAUUUCAUUCUGCAGAUUACACAGUCAAAGUAGAAGUUACCACACCAUGGUUAGCCAUGACACAAGAAACAUGUAACUUAAUAUGUUAUUUGCUUCAUAGAGAUAUAAGUUGCUGACUUUUUUUGUUUGCUUAACAUGCAAGUUAACUGGUUGUAUGCACUUUUGAGCAAUUUUGCAUCAAUCUGACUAAUGAAAACUCCAACAACAUUUUAACCAGGUUUGCUCAUAUAAGCAUUCUUUUAAGCGUUUUAAGCAUGCAUAGUAGCUUAAUAUGGGUGCGGAUAAAAUAUUGCAUAUUUUCAAGAUGGAACAAAAGAAUAUUCCAAGGGGGACAUUAAGUUAAAGCAUGCGAGAACUUCGGUUGAAAUUAGAAAACCUUCCCAAAUAGUUGUUUCGUCCAUUUUUUUAUAGAAAGAUCAAUUAUUAUAUGUAAAGAAAUGUGAUGUGUAAACUUAUCUUUAGUUCAUUUUACCGCAUAAUGACAUUUUAAUAAAAAUUCAUGUUAAUUAACUAAUAAAAUUAAACUACCCGGGAAGCAGUCCCGGGUGAUAACCUAGUAUAUAAUAAAUAAAUUAGAUGUGGGACACGUGUCAAGUGGUGGUGCAACCACAAUGGAUUUUUGGCGGGAAAAUGUGAGAAACUUUAUGUUUUCACACGGGAUCCGAGUUGUAAAAUCCAUACCCGCAAAUUUUGACCCGACUAUAUAUUGCUUCUAAAAUACCUCAUAACUCAUUCACCAAACCCUAAUACGCCGUUCAAUCUCUCUGCCGAUUCUCCCCUACCUUCGAUGCACAACUGCAAACCCUAGAGGUUAUCCACAACUGUGAUCAACAUAAAUCAACAUAGUUGUCCAGUUCACUACAUAGUCGUUGCCAUCUACAUUGAAAUUGACGCACACAUCAAAAACCCUAAAAGCUCCCACGUUCUUCUUCAAUCGCCUGACAAAGGAUUCCAAAAUCAAACCGAUUCACUUCCAGAGGAAGAUGGUGAAGGCGCUGUCUUAAAGAAGCAGAUCAAGGAUGUUUUGACAGGUUAUAUUUGUAAAUAGAACAUAUUAUUUAUUAUUGUUUUGUGACUAUGUAUGUGUUCAGUAUGGUUUGCUAAUAGUCAAGUUGCUAUUCAAUGGUGGAGGGGAGAUUUUGGGGGUGGAAAUUGUUUAACCUGUGAAAUUCGUCUUUAAAAAAUAAAAAUAAGAAAAAUACAAAUCUGGAUAAUAAUCCUACUUUACUUCAAAAUUCACCUCUGAAGUUGCUGGAUCUGUGUGUUCAUGUGUAGCAAAAUUAGCGGGUCAAAAGUUGUUUGAUUCACCCACGUGUAGUGAGAAGUAUCUCCACAGCAACACAUACGGUGUGUAUGAAUAGGUUUAUUUAGUUUCUAACUUUUAUGUGGCAAAAUGGACGGGUUUAGGUUUGGGUCAAAUUACAUCUUUAUAUGAUUCCGCACCUUCUUUGGGUUGGGUUGGGUUGAUUGCGCACCUUCUCAUGAACUUUGCUGCUCGAUUUAAACCACAUUCUCAAAUAUGGGACGCGAUGCCCUUUAUGACUACUGCAUAUCGGUUGCAUCCAGUUGGAAACCUAAGGUAAAAGUUGAGUGUCGAUAGAUUGUAAUGCAUCGCCACCAUGAAGAAUAAAUCAAUUCCUUUUGCGCUCCACCAAGCUUUGUAACAGUGGUGAAUGGAAUACACAAAAGGAACAACAAACUAUUGGAAAUUCAGAUUAGGAUUUCGUAAUUCCAUCUAUAAUGUGGAAUUCUCUGUUAAUGUGGGGCAAUAAGUAUGUGGGACAGAAGAGUGAGCGAUCUUCCACAAAGGGUGCUGAUAAAUAAGAAGAACACCGGCCUUACUAGCUUCCAGUUACUUGGAGGCCUAAGUUGAAGCACAUACAAAACCAAAUUCAAGAAGAUGUGAAAAAGACAACGUCAGAGCAACUACAUGCUUCAUUUAUGGGGGAAAGAACUAAAGCAAUUAAUAGUGAUGGCUAUUCGCUUCUUGUAACUCCUUUGGUCCGAAUACUUUUAAGGCCUAGUGAGUCAGGUGGAUGCAAGGACGGCAAUGGAUGACGGCGAAGAGAUAGGCUGCGAUGGGUGAGGUUGUGGUUAUGGUAUCUUCUACAUCAGAUCAAAGCAACUACAAGCUCCAUCUAUAUGGGGGAAAGAACUAAAGCAAUUAAUGGUGAUGGCUAUUCGCUUCUUGUAACUCCUUUGGUCCAAAGGGAAUCGGUAGUGUUGUCAGAAUAGCUGCCACAACAACAGAAUCAGUUUACGGGUUUCUUCGUAGUCAAUUGGCUGGUUUGGAACCAUUGAUUGGUUUGUGCCUAUACCAUUAGAUCUUGCAAAUUCAUUGUGAUCCAUCUCGCACACCCUCUAGACAAAGUUGACUGUAUCUUCUUAUGGCACAAGAGAUGAAUGUUCAGAACUGUAAUCUAAGGCUUACGUGGCGAUGCUCAGAGAAAGAAGAUGGUUGAUGAGAGACCGAACCUUCUGUUGGUGGUUAGCCACCGUACUCUACUGCGAUGCUACACACUCUGACGCGUGAACUAUCUAAGGUUGCAAAUUGGAGAACAAGGACGCCUUUGGUGGUAUCGGUUUGGUCAAAGAUGGGCAGUGGUGUUGAUAUCGGUGGGAGCAGCCGUCAACUCCAGCGACUAUAGGGUUCCAUGAAGCAUAAACGUUGGUUGUUUCGUGUAUGUAGUAUGCGAAACCCAACACGCAAAACAACAUUAAUUCAUUAUAGUAUUAUUUUUGUAAGUUCAUUGUAAUUUAAUUACAUAAGUUCAUUGUAAGCCACGUGUUGUGACCGUUUGAAGGAAAUGAAGAUGCUUUGAUCUUUUUCAGAGAUCCAUUUCUUUGUUUUUUUGUCAUUUAACACCUUUUGUGGGUUUUCCAUGACAAAACCCAAACCGUCAAGGUUAUGCAUUAACAAAAAGAUAAUAAUAUAAGUAACUUUCUCUAGCCCGGGAAGCAAUCCCGGGUGAAAUUUAAUGGUUUUGAUGGUGCGUACUAUUUGCUUAAUGAAAAGGGUGAAAAGGUUAAGGACAAGUUGGGAUGAGAUUUAUGUUUUAAUAAAUUUGGCCAUAUCAUGCCACCUACUUAUUUAAAUCUCUAAAUAUGACCAGGGGCGGACCUAGCAUAGAACAAGGGGCAACCUCCGUUGCCCUUUGACGCUCCGGCGGUAGUGUAAAAUUAGUGUAAAUUUUGGAAAAAAAAUUGACGUUUGAUUAGUAAUUUUUCUUAUCCUACAUAAGCAAAAUUAGUAAUUUUUCUUUAAGUUUACUUAUCAGUUAUUAUUACUGUUACGCUUGAUUAAUUCAUGGGUUGAAUAAAAUAUUACUUUAAACUAAUAUGAUGGCUUGCAGAUAAGUUUGUCGCAAUGUUUGUAGAGAAAACUGGGUACCCGAUUGUUGAGCCUGCUCAUAUGGAGUUGGCAUACAAGAUGCAUUUCGUUCAUGUGUUUAAAAAGGUGCAAGUCGUGUAAGUGUGAGCCCAUUUUUUCUAUUCCCAUGGCAACAUUGGCACCAGGGAAUUAGCUUUACUUGGAAACUUUCAAUACAUAUGGAGAAGGGAAAGAGGAUAAUUUAAAGGUUCAAAGUGUUAUUUAUGUAUUUUUGUUUAUUGUAAAUUAAAUUUUCCUAGCCUGGGAUUUUCC